rnacentral:rRNA from 1 species
GAUGAACGCUGGCGGCGCGCCUAACACAUGCAAGUCGAACGAUUAAAGCACCUUCGGGUGUGUAUAAAGUGGCGAACGGCUGAGUAACACGUGGGCAACCUGCCCCUCUCAUUGGGAUAGCCACGGGAAACCGUGGAUAAUACCGAAUACUUCGGGACUUCCGCAUGGAAGACUCGAGAAAGCUCCGGCGGAGAGGGAUGGGCCCGCGGCCUGUUAGCUUGUUGGUGGGGUAAUGGCCUACCAAGGCAAUGAUGGGUAGCUGGGUUGAGAGACCGACCAGCCAGAUGGGACCGGGGCACCGGCCCGGACCCAACCGGGGGCAGCAGUGGGGAAUCUUGCACAAUGGGCGAAAGCCUGAUGCAGCGACGCCGCGUGCGGGAUGAAGGCCUUCGGGUUGUAAACCGCUUUCAGCAGGGACGAGGCGAAAGUGACGGUACCUGCAGAAGAAGCCCCGGCUAACUACGUG